AAACUUUCUAGACAGGGGAGAUACUAUGAUCAAAUAGCUGGUUUUCCAGGGUGAGACUUACCAGUUUCACUCCUGAUGUAAGGAACCCUGUGACUUCCCCCAAGGUAGGAUACUAGACUAUAUAAUAUGUAUGUGGUAGCGUUUGUGGUCUCCCCUC